UACAGAGGUCCCAAGCGUUGUUCGGAUUCACUGGGCGUAAAGGGUGCGUAGGUGGUGGGGAAAGUUUGAUGUGAAAUCUCCGAGCUCAACUCGGAAAUGGCAUUGAAUACUACUCUGCUAGAGGAUUGGAGGGGAGACUGGAAUUCUUGGUGUAGCAGUGAAAUGCGUAGAUAUCAAGAGGAACACCAGUGGCGAAAGCGAGUCUCUGGACAAUUCCUGACACUGAGGCACGAAAGCUAGGGGAGCAAACAGGAUUAGAAACCCCCGUAGUCC
rnacentral:rRNA from 1 species